UGAGGAAUAUUGGUCAAUGGGCGAGAGCCUGAACCAGCCAAGUAGCGUGCAGGAUGACGGCCCUAUGGGUUGUAAACUGCUUUUAUAUGGGAAUAAAGCCAGGGACGUGUCCCUUAUUGCAUGUACUAUACGACUAAGUACCGGCUAAUUCCGUGCCCGCAGCCGCGGUAAUACGAACGGUCAAGGCGUUAUCCGGAUUUAUUGGGUUGAAAGGGAGCGUAGGCUGUUUGUUCAGCGUGUUGUGAAAUGUAAGAGCUCAACUUUUAGAUUGCAGCGCGAACUGGCAGACUUGAGUGCGCACAACGUAGGCGGAAUGCAUGGUGUAGCGGUGAAAUGCUUAGAUAUCAUGAAGAACACCGAUUGCAAAGGCAGCUAACGGGAGCGCAACUGACGCUAAAGAUCGAAGGUGCGGGUAUCGAACAGG
rnacentral:rRNA from 1 species